AUAACUUACCCUUAGGACUGGGAUAACUCUGGGAAACUGGGGAUAAUACCGGAUAUUAGGCUAUGCCUGGAAUGGUUUGCCUUUGAAACGUUCUUUUCGCCUAAGGAUAGAUCUGCGGCUGAUUAGGUCGUUGGUGGGGUAAUGGCCCACCAAGCCUAUGAUCGGUACGGGUUGUGAGAACAAGAGCCCGGAGAUGGAACCUGAGACAAGGUUCCAGACCCUACGGGGUGCAGCAGGCGCGAAACCUCACAAUGUACGAAAGUGCGAUGGGGGAAUCCCAAGUGUUAUUCUUAACAGAAUAGCUUUUCAUUAGUGUAAAAAGCUUUUAGAAUAAGAGCUGGGCAAGACCGGUGCCAGCCGCCGCGGUAACACCGGCAGCUCGAGUGGUAGCUGUUUUUAUUGGGCCUAAAGCGUUCGUAGCCGGUUUGAUUAGUCUUUGGUGAAAGCUUGUAGCUUAACUUUAAGAAUUGCUGGAGAUACUAUCAGACUUGAAGUCGGGAGAGGUUAGAGGUACUACCGGGGUAGGGGUGAAAUCCUAUAAUCCUGGGAGGACCACCUGUGGCGAAAGCGUCUAACUAGAACGAUCUUGACGGUGAGUAACGAAAGCCAGGGGCGCGAACCGGAUUAGAUACCCGGGUAGUCCUGGCCGUAAACGAUGUGGACUUGGUGUUGGAAUGGCUUCGAGUUGUUCCAGUGCCGAAGGGAAGCUGUUAAGUCCACCGCCUGGGAAGUACGGUCGCAAGACUGAAACUUAA
rnacentral:rRNA from 1 species